CCUACGGGAGGCAGCAGUGAGGAAUAUUGGUCAAUGGACGAGAGUCUGAACCAGCCAAGUAGCGUGAAGGAUGACUGCCCUAUGGGUUGUAAACUUCUUUUAUAAAGGAAUAAAACGAGGCACGUGUGCCUUUCUGCAUGUACUGUAUGAAUAAGGAUCGGCUAACUCCGUGCCAGCAGCCGCGGUAAUACGGAGGAUCCGAGCGUUAUCCGGAUUUAUUGGGGUUAAAGGGAGCGUAGAUGGGUUGUUAAGUCAGUUGUGAAAGUUUUCGGCUCAACCGUAAAAUUGCAAUUGAUACUGGCAAUCUUGAGUGCAGUUGAGGUAGGCGGAAUUCGUGGUGUAGCGGUGAAAUGCUUAGAUAUCACGAAGAACCCCGAUUGCGAAGGCAGCUUACUAAACUGUGACUGACAUUGAUGCUCGAAAGUGUGGGUAUCAAACAGGAUUAGAUACCCCUGUAGUC
rnacentral:rRNA from 1 species